AGUAACACGUGGGGAACCUGCCCCUAAGUCUGGGAUACCAUUUGGAAACAGGUGCUAAUACCGGAUAAUAAAGCAGAUCGCAUGAUCAGCUUUUGAAAGGCGGCGUAAGCUGUCGCUAAGGGAUGGCCCCGCGGUGCAUUAGCUAGUUGGUAAGGUAACGGCUUACCAAGGCGACGAUGCAUAGCCGAGUUGAGAGACUGAUCGGCCACAUUGGGACUGAGACACGGCCCAAACUCCUACGGGAGGCAGCAGGC
rnacentral:rRNA from 1 species